UACGAAGGGGGCUAGCGUUGCUCGGAAUCACUGGGCGUAAAGGGUGCGUAGGCGGGGCUUUAAGUCAGGGGUGAAAUCCCGGAGCUCAACUCCAGAACUGCCUUUGAUACUGCAAAUCUCGAGUCCGGAAGAGGUGAGUGGAAUUCCUAGUGUAGAGGUGAAAUUCGUAGAUAUUAGGAAGAACACCAGUGGCGAAGGCGGCUCACUGGUCCGGUACUGACGCUGAGGUGCGAAAGCGUGGGGAGCAAACAGG
rnacentral:rRNA from 1 species